rnacentral:rRNA from 1 species
AGUUGCUAGUAAUCGCGAAUCAGAAUGUCGCGGUGAAUACGUUCCCGGGUCUUGUACACACCGCCCGUCACACCAUGAGAGUUGGCAACACCCGAAACCUGUGGGCUAACCGAAAGGAGGCAGCAGUCUAAGGUGGGGUCAGUGAUUGGGGUGAAGUCGUAACAAGGUAGC